UACAGAGGUCUCAAGCGUUGUUCGGAUUCAUUGGGCGUAAAGGGUGCGUAGGUGGCGGGGUAAGUCAGGGGUGAAAUUUCGGAGCUUAACUCCGAAACUGCAUUUGAUACUGCCUUGCUUGAGGACUGGAGAGGAGACUGGAAUUCACGGUGUAGCAGUGAAAUGCGUAGAGAUCGUGAGGAAGACCAGUGGCGAAGGCGGGUCUCUGGACAGUUCCUGACACUGAGGCACGAAGGCCAGGGGAGCAAACGGG
rnacentral:rRNA from 1 species